rnacentral:lncRNA from 10 species
CUCAAUUGACCUAUUAGUCCUGCCUCAUUUUAAGCUUUGCACACCUCCUCUCCUGCAACUGGGGCCAUUUCAUCUCUUUCAAUGGCCCGGCAUCAUCAUCGCUGUAUGCAGGCCUGACCUCAGGCAGAAGGGAGUGAGGCAGCAUGACAUAGGAUGAAGCAGAAAGGCACUGGGGUGAGUGGGCCGGCGUCUGAAUGCCCACUCUCUAGCUGUGUGAUCUUAGGCUAAAAUGCUGUAAAUUAUAGGCCCUGAGUACAUUGCAUAACCCCUCAUUUCUCUGUCUGGACUGGUCUUUUAGGGAUCAUGACUGCUUCCCAGACCUUAGUCUCAGGAUGCCACACCGGAAGAGCUGGACCCCACAUUUGAAGACAGAUGUCCCUGGCGGUGCCCGCCUGCUCUGUAAAGAGCUAGUCCCAGGCUCCCAUUGUGACCUAGCACCUCAACCUCUCCUGACCCUUUUGCCUAGGCCAGAUCCUGAGAUCGGAGAGUACAUACAUCUCCCUGGGGCUUGCUUUCCUCUCCCAUAAAAUUUAGGAGUUGGGGAUGAUCUUAUCCCUCUACCUAGACUGUAGACUCCUGGGAGCGGGAGGCAAGGCACUCACAAGCAAGGGCAUCAGAGUGACAUCAAGACACAAACAGCCAUGGAAUCUUGGGAACAGAUCAAGGAGUCCACCUCUUAAAAUAUUGUAAAAAAUAAAAUCUGAGUACGAAUGUUGGUGAAAAGG